UUGAAACUCCGUUUCGCGUACGAUCUUCGAAGUUAAGCAACGUUGAGCCUUGUCAGUAACUGGAUGGGUAACCGCUUGGGAAUACCAGGUGCUGUAA